CUUUUUUCUCUGGAACUUCCUAUUUCUCUCUCCUAUUUCUCUCGAUUCUCUUACUUCUCUCUUCAGAAACCUUCUUUUUCUUGAGUCUAUUACCUUUAUCAUCAGAGAAGGUUUCAUGAAGGUUUCAUUAUCUGUGAUACAAUCUCUUCUACAAUCUUCCGAUUUGGUGUUUCAAGUGAUUCUUAGGCUUUUGCAUCUUCUUCAUCGCCCCAUCUGGCUAUCUCUCUGUGGCGAUUCAAGAAUAUGAAGGCCAUUCAAGGAGAUUAGUGAAAAUUUUACCAGAUCCAUGAAGAAUCUGACAUCUACGGUUCCGAUUUACAGGAUUUGUUACGGCGGAGGUAGCGUGUUGUGGGCAUGAACAAUACAAUGAAAUUAGAGAAUCCAAAUCGGUUUGUUUACGUGUGAUCCUGAGGUCGCCAUGUAGUAAUCGUGCCAUGUAGUCGUUGAUGAUUUAGUGCAAUCUAGAGGCACUUUUAUUGAAUGCCAGGAGCUUAAUAAGGUGGCGGUGUUACAAAUAUCUAUGCCAAUAGAUGCUACAAAACCAAUUGUUCGAACAACAAUAGGAGCCACUUCAUAUGCUCUUCUGAACACGACUCGCUUAUAUGGAGAUUAGACCAUUCCCGGGUGCAUGUACCAAUUUCUAUAGGUACUUUGGUGUUUCUAUGUCAAGGGUGUAUUAGAUGUAAUUGGAAAUUUUUGGCCAGCCUCCCGCUGGUCGCUUUUUAUUAUUUAUUUAAUUUUUUUUUUUGUUAUUCAAAACAUAUGUAUUUUUUAUUAUACACAGCAAUUGGGAUUUAAGCAGAUAUAUCAUGAAGUCAUGAACUAUGGUUAUUACUUAUUAGUGUUUAUAUAUCUUUUUUCCAUUAAUUUCUUUAUAAAAAUAUAUACCCUGUGUGUUAUUGGCUUGGUUGCUGGACAUGUGGCCUUCAAGGAUGAAUAAGGAAUCACUGUUGUUGAUUUUAAUGUUUGAAAGUCUAACCGGAGUGAGAUCAAGGUCAUUGGGAAUCACAAAAGGGUACAUUUUGGCGGUCCAGAUAUACUCCUUCCAUUUCAUAGUACUGUUUAUUGUAAUAUUUAAAUUGUUGUUGUUCGCCUGUCUAACUUCUAUAUAGUUUAUUAAGCUGUUGUUUUUGACCUUAUGUUUGACAGUCAUAUGGUCAUCCUUUUCACAACUAUUCAAACUAUUUAGAACUGCAAAACCUCCAAGUGGAGGGGCUUGUGAGGGUCGUUAACUUUGGCUGCUGGGUGGUGGUAUAUUUCCAGCAAAAGAUGACUUUUUUUUCCAGUUGGGGCCAUCGUUCCACCCCCUUUGAUGCAUGUAUCACUUCUAAGGUUGGGGUUGGGCAGUUGACUUCUUUACUUUUUGUUUUUGAGACGGGAUUGAACAUUCAAGAAGCACAUGUUUUUUCCUCGGCUGGUGGCUUCUUAUUGGAUGUCUUUGUUGUUGAUGGCCUCAUGAGGUCUAAUCUUAGUUGUCUUGAACAAUGUGUUUGAAUUUUGAAAACAUUGGUACACUGAUCUAUUAUUGGCAACUUGUAGGAAAUUGAAAAGCUCAAAAUUUAUGUAAUAUACAUAUUUUAUGCAGGGGAGGUUCAUAGUGGUAAAAAUUCUUCAUCCACUAAAUGCAAAAGUAUUCCAACAUCAAGUGACCUUGUGCCCUCAAAUGUUUAUGUAAAAGUACCUACUUAUGGAACUGAGGUAUUGGAAAUUGAUGCCAAGCUGCUGAAAUUCUUAUAGAGAUGUUGAGUAAACGAUACUGGUAGCAUCGUUUUAAUAUGAUAAAUAUUUAGAGAUUAUGAUUAUUUGUAUAUAUACGUUAGUUAUAUUUGUAAUCUAACUUCAUUAUUACUUUAUUUAAUAUGAAACUUUUAUUUU